rnacentral:rRNA from 1 species
GUCCACGCUGUAAACUAUGGAUACUCGGUGUAAGAGGGAAUCGACCCCCUUUUGUGCCUAAGCUAACGCGUUAAGUAUCCCGCCUGGGGAGUACGGCCGCAAGGUUAAAACUCAAAGAAAUAGACGGGGACCCACACAAGCGGUGGAACAUGUGGUUUAAUUCGAUGAUAAACGAGGCACCUUACCCAGGCUUGACAUCUCCGGAACCCUGAAGAAAUUUGGGGGUGCCGUAAGGAACCGGAUGACAGGCGCUGCAUGGUCGUCGU